GUGAUUUUGGCUGAGUGGUUAAGGGAAUGGACUAGAGAUCCAUUGGGGUCUGCCUACACAGGUUUGAAUCCUGCCAAUGACA
rnacentral:tRNA from 1 species